rnacentral:rRNA from 1 species
CAAGGAAUUUUCCCCAAUGGGCGCAAGCCUGAGGGAGCAACGCCGCGUGCAGGACGACGGCCUUCGGGUUGUAAACUGCUUUUGCGUGGGACGAUAACGCCGGUACCACGCGAAUCAGCCCCGGCUAACUCCGUGCCAGCAGCCGCGGUAAAACAGAGGGGGCAAGCGUUGUCCGGACUUACUGGGCGUAAAGCGCACGCAGGUGGUAACGCAAGUGGGGGGUGAAAGCCGCCAGCUCAACUGGCGGAGGGCAUCCCAAACUGCGUCACUUGAGGCCUGUAGAGGUAUGUGGAAUUGCCGGUGUAGUGGUGAAAUGCGUAGAGAUCGGCAGGAACACCCAGGGGGAAACCAGCAUACUGGACAGGUCCUGACAUUCAGGUGCGACAGCGUGGGGCGCGAACCGGAUUAGAUACCCCCGUAGUCC